UGCGUAGGGGGCAAGCGUUAUCCGGAUUUACUGGGUGUAAAGGGAGCGUAGACGGUGUGGCAAGUCUGAUGUGAAAGGCAUGGGCUCAACCUGUGGACUGCAUUGGAAACUGUCAUACUUGAGUGCCGGAGGGGUAAGCGGAAUUCCUAGUGUAGCGGUGAAAUGCGUAGAUAUUAGGAGGAACACCAGUGGCGAAGGCGGCUUACUGGACGGUAACUGACGUUGAGGCUCGAAAGCGUGGGGAGCAAACAGG
rnacentral:rRNA from 1 species